CCUGGUUGAUCUUGCCAGUAGUCAUAUGCUUGUCUCAAAGAUUAAGCCAUGCAAGUGAAAGUAUAUGCAUAUUUUAUAUGUAGAAACUGCGAACGGCUCAUUAAAACAGUUAUAAUCUACUUGACAUUUUAAUAUAAGGAUAACUACGGAAAAGCUGUAGCUAAUACUUGUAAAAGUACAUUACUUCUCGGAGUAAAUCUGUAUGUAUUUGUUAAGGCACCCAAGAAAAAAUGAUAUUAAAGGAAUUAUAACAAAGAAGUUACACCACAACAAACGUUAGUGUGUAUCAAUCGAGUUUCUGACCUAUCAGCUUUUGAUGUUAGGGUAUUGACCUAACAUGGCUUUGACGGGUAACGGGGAAUUAGAGUUCGAUUCCGGAGAGGGAGCCUGAGAAAUAGCUACCACAUCUAAGGAAGGCAGCAGGCGCGUAAAUUACCCAAUUCUAAAUAAGAGAGGUAGUGACAAGAAAUAACAAUAUAAGGCCAAAUUUUGGUUUUAUAAUUGGAAUGAUGGGAACUUAAAAUCUUCCCAAAAAUCAAUUGGAGGGCAAGUCUGGUGCCAGCAGCCGCGGUAAUUCCAGCUCCAAUAGCGUAUAUUAAAAUUGUUGCAGUUAAAACGCUCGUAGUUAAAUUUCAAAGGAUAUAAAUAUUGUAAGAACGUGCUUGAUGAGAUUCAUCGUGACUCUGUCAUUGUACUCUACCUCGUCGUCCUUUUAAUUAUAGAUCCCUUUGAGAACCCAAUGAUUCAUCAAUGGGUUCUUGUUACUUUGAGUAAAUUAGAGUGUUUAAAGCAAAUAUUAUCUGGUAUAAUCUACUGUGUUUGAAUACUAUAGCAUGGAAUAACAACAUUGAAUAGGUCAAAAAUUUUUGAAAAAUUUUUCUUGUUUUGGCUUAGAUACAGUUAAUAGGAGUAGAUUGGAGGCAUUUGUAUUCAGAUGCUAGAGGUGAAAUUCUUAGAUUUUCUGGAGACAAACAACUGCGAAAGCAUUUGCCUAAAAUACUUCCAUUAAUCAAGAACGAAAGUUAAGGGAGUGAAGACGAUCAGAUACCGUCGUAAUCUUAACCAUAAACUAUGCCGACUAAGUGUUGGAUGAAAAUUUAUAAAUAAAACUAUCUUCUUUAAAGGAAUAGUUUUUUAGAUGCUUCCUUCAGUACCUUAUGAGAAAUCAAAGUCUUUGGGUUCUGGGGCGAGUAUUCGCGCAAGCGAGAAAGUUAAAAGAAUUGACGGAAGGGCACCACCAGGCGUGGAGCUUGCGGCUUAAUUUGACUCAACACGGGGAAACUCACUAGUUUAAGACAAGAGUAGGAUUGACAGAUUAAUAGCUCUUUCUUGAUUUCUUGGAUGGUGAUGCAUGGCCGUUUUUAGUUCGUGAAUAUGAUUUGUCUGGUUAAUUCCGAUAACGAACGAGAUCUUAACCUGCUAAUUAGCGGUGGGU
rnacentral:rRNA from 1 species